rnacentral:rRNA from 1 species
UACGUAGGGGGCAAGCGUUGUCCGGAUUUAUUGGGCGUAAAGAGCGUGUAGGCGGCCUGACAGGUCUGCUGUGAAAACUCGAGGCUCAACCUCGAGAUGUCGGCGGAAACCGUCUGGCUAGAGUCCGGAAGAGGAGAGUGGAAUUCCUGGUGUAGCGGUGAAAUGCGCAGAUAUCAGGAGGAACACCGGUGGCGAAGGCGGUUCUCUGGGCAUGUCCUGACGCUGAGGAGCGAAAGUGUGGGGAGCGAACAGG